rnacentral:rRNA from 1 species
AAUAGAUACCCUGGAAGUCCACGCCGUAAACGAUGAAUGCUAAGUGUUAGGGGGUUUCCGCCCCUUAGUGGCUGCAGCUAACGCAUUAAGCACUCCGCCUGGGGAGUACGGUCGCAAGACUGAAACUCAAAGGAAUUGACGGGGGCCCGCACAAGCGGUGGAGCAUGUGGUUUAAUUCGAAGCAACGCGAAGAACCUUACCAGGUCUUGACAUCCCAUUGACCACUAUGGAGACAUAGUUUUCCCUUCGGGGACAACGGUGACAGGUGGUGCAUGGUUGUCGUCAGCUCGUGUCGUGAGAUGUUGGGUUAAGUCCCGCAACGAGCGCAACCCUUGUUCUUAGUUGCCAUCAUUUAGUUGGGCACUCUAAGGAGACUGCCGGUGACAAACCGGAGGAAGGUGGGGAUGACGUCAAAUCAUCAUGCCCCUUAUGACCUGGGCUACACACGUGCUACAAUGGACGGUACAAACGGUUGCCAACCCGCGAGGGGGAGCUAAUCCGAUAAAACCGUUCUCAGUUCGGAUUGUAGGCUGCAACUCGCCUACAUGGAAC